rfam:Salmo salar isolate Sally breed double haploid chromosome ssa03, whole genome shotgun sequence.
UGGCACAGUUGGUAGAGCAUGGUGUUUGCAAUGCCAGGGUUGUGGGUUCGAUUCCCAC